rnacentral:rRNA from 1 species
UACAGAGGGUGCGAGCGUUGUCCGGAAUCACUGGGCGUAAAGGGCGCGUAGGUGGCGGGCCAAGUCCAUGGUGAAAGCUCGAUGCUCAACAUCGAGUCGGCCACGGAUACUGGUUCGCUGGAGCACUGUAGAGGCAGAUGGAAUUCCGGGUGUAGCGGUGGAAUGCGUAGAGAUCCGGAAGAACACCGGUGGCGAAGGCGGUCUGCUGG